GAUGAACGCUAGCGGCAGGCCUAAUACAUGCAAGACGAACGGUAAGAUUUUUAGCAAUAAGAGUCCUAGAGUGUCGUAAGGGUGCGUAACACGUAUGCAAUCUGCCCUGUACAGGGGGAUAGCUCCCCGAAAGGGGAAUUAAUACUCCGUAAUAUCAUUGAAUGGCAUCAUUUGAUGAUUAAAGCUGAGGCGGUACAGGAUGAGCAUGUGCAUGAUUAGUUAGUUGGCGGGGUAACGGCCACCAAGCCGAUGAUCAUUAGGGGGACUGAGAGGUUGAUCCCCCACACUGUAAAUGAGAGACGGGCCAGACUCCUACGGGAGGAGGCAGUAGGGAAUAGUGGACAAUUGGUGCGAGCCUGAUCCAGCCAUGCCGCGUGCAGGAAGACGGCCUUCUGGGUUGUAAACUGCUUUUGCCAGGGAAUAAAACGGCUCUGCGGAGCUAAUUGAAGGUACCUGGUGAAUAAGCCACGGCUAACUUCGUGCCAGCCGCCGCCGUAACAC
rnacentral:rRNA from 1 species